rnacentral:rRNA from 1 species
GAAGGAGCGUAAUCACUUGUUCUUUAAAUGAGGACUAGUAUGAAUGGCCCCACGAGGGCUGCACUGUCUCCUUUUUCUAAUCAAUGAAACUAAUCUCCCCGUGAAGAAGCGGGGAUAAUUCUAUAAGACGAGAAGACCCUAUGGAGCUUUAAACAACUGAAACACUUGCUUUUCCAUUAACCUCUUCCGAGUUCUUUACUUCACUCAAGCAUUUUUAUUUCUAGUUUUAGGUUGGGGUGACCACGGAGCAAAACUAAACCUCCACGAAGAAAUGAAUACUUUUUAAGCCACAAACUACUUUUUUAAGCAUCAACAAAUUGACCUUCAUUGACCCAAUAUAUUGAUCAACGAACCAAGUUACCCUAGGGAUAACAGCGCAAUCUACUUCAAGAGCUCGUAUCGACAAGUAGGUUUACGACCUCGAUGUUGGAUCAGGGUAUCCUA